UGGCUUAAAAAUAACACUUACAAUAUCCAUACAAGAGUAAGAAAAAUAAAAUACAAAUAUAAAAAUAAAUAACUUAAUCUCCUACAAAUAAUUCAUUCAAUAAUGGCAACAUCCAUACAUCAUAAAUUUAAUUGAAGUAUUAGAAACUCCAAAAGAAAAAAUUAAUGUAAUUCAAACAUCCAAAAACUAAAACAUAAACAUUAGUAGAGUGGCUAUACAUACAAAACAUUAUGUCAAAAGAAGUUCGCAAAAUAUCUAAAUAUUCCUUAGUACGUGAUGUUGCUUCAUGAUCCUUAAUUAGUGAUAGCAUAAUUAGUGAUAGCAUGACUCAGAAUGCCUACCAUCUCUUGACUCCUCUAAUUAAGUUACCUGGAAAAACAUAAAUAUAUAUUAGGAUACUUAAAAAAAAAAACGAACGAUAUUGUACAAAUUGACUUGGUCUAUGACAUAACAAGUUUUUAUUUUUUGAAAAACUAAAGACAUGAUUACAAAGCUACAGAAAAGGUAGAGACAAGCUGCAAUUAAUUAACUUCCAGACCUCGUUUCAAAGAGCAAACAUAUAUUUAAUCAAGUAGAAUUACCAAGCUUCAAAACUGUUUUGUGAGCACUAGUGUCUCAUAAUAGAAAAAACAAGACAGCAACAUUAAAACUAAACAAUACAAUAGCAGUGCACAACACAUAAGUCGUAACAGAAAAACAAGACAUUAAUACCAAGCCUAAAAACUAGACAGCAAUAUAAUAACAGUGCACUCAUACUCAUUAUCUCUAUUUAGCAUAUAUCAACAAAAGCAAUACCAAGCAAUCUCUAUAAUACAUUUAGUACCCAAGCCAUAUGCUAGUAAGUCCCUUAAUGCAUAUAUAGACAGAUAGAUAUUACACAUAGACAAAAACCUUUCACAUAAAAAAGGAAUUACCAAUUCUUAAUGCGUAUAAAUACAGUUCUCAACUUAGCAAAAACUUCUUGACUAAAAGGCUACUUAACAUUUCUACAAGGAGAUAUGAUCUGCUAUCACAGUUGAAUUAAUAUGGAUAUUCAAUAAGCUUUUCAAGCAGAUAAUUAUACAAAGUGGACAGAAAGAUGCAUCCUUAAUAAAAUUGAGCUAAAGUAAAUUUACUCAAACAAUACACACUUGAGGCAUCCUUCCAUCAAGGUUCACAUAUAUAGAAUGAACAUUCUGAUCAUUAUUUUGCAUCUCAAUACAAAUGUAAUAAUAUCAUACUCAUUACUUGACUCCAAAAUUUGCACAAUUAAUCACAAAAUCUUCAUUUAUUAAAAGGCUAUAAGUUACUUGACUCCCAAUUCAUGACAAGCAUCAUAUAUAUGAACAAUAUCAAGUUCUUAAUUUAUUUAUUUUUUUAACUAACGACUUUAACCCAACCCAAAAGAUCAAUAGAGUUUCAAUUAACAUUAACAAGAAUCAAAACUUUCAUCAACAUUUGACAUUCAAAGUCAUUAGAUAUAAACUCAGAAAUAAUAUUUAGAACCUGUUUCGGUGCGAUUAUAGAAGGAGCAACAACUACGGACGAUGAGUCUGAUGGUUUUGUGAAGUCCACCGACCACUCUCUGUUUCUCGAUGGUUUCCAAUUCGAGAUAAACUCAUUCAAAGAACAUCAAAUAAAUUCAUAAGAUUAUUGUAAAAUUGGACCUAAAAUCACAUCAAUAAUAAUAAUAAUCAACAUAUAAAUAUAAAUAUAAAAUAAAGGAUAACAUAAAAAAGAGAAUAGAUAUCAUAGAAACUUAUAUUUAUUGACAUCGACAACCGUAAAGUAAGCAACCAUGAAACAAAGCUGGAACUAAAAACUAAAAAGCUACAAGUCCCAAAACCCUCACCUUACCCAAACUACCAGCAGCAAAAACAGAUAUAGAACCACAAACAAGGGAACCAAAAACCAUACUUAAGGGCCAAAAGACCAGAUAUGCCAGAAAACCCAAACCAAAUCAGGCCUUCACCAAUAACAUAAACUCAGAAUCCAAUGACACAAGAAAUGAGCAAGAAAGCACAUAAAAACCAGUACUAGAGGCCAAAUACGCCAGCAGCCGCAACCAGGAAAAGACCAAACCAAUGCACACACUAGCUUAUCCACAAAACCAAACUAAUUCAUCUACAAACAAAACAAAACAAUGCAUUUUGAGACAAACAUUAAAGAAUAAAAUUGUGAAGAAAUUAAUGAGCAUUAUUAUUAAUAUAGAGAAUUAACAAAAGAUUAAACAAAAAGCCAUAAGGUACAUAAGAAUGGAGAAACUAACAAAUUUUGGGUUUUGUUAUGGAGAAAUCAAAGAGGAAGCCGCGAUUGAUAGACUUUACUUCCAUAAAUCAUUCACCUCAGUAAAUAGAACAGAGAAACAUUAAAAUCAAACAUCAACAAAAAAAAAUUGAAAGGCUUUAGUACUCUAAUAUCGUUAACCUCAAUCCUCAAAUAAUAUUUCAACGCAGGCAGCUAUAUUUAAGGGGGAAAUAGAGGAAACAAAAAGAGGACUAGGGUUUUUUAGAUUCUUACCAACUAGAGAGGCUCGAAGCACGUAGAAAGAUGACGAGUCACAGAUCGGCGGACGGAGAACAAACGAGUCACGACACAAGAUCUGUGAAGAACGACAGAGAACAAAGGAGAUGAAAACAAGCAAAAUGAAAUGAAAACAAGCAAAGUAACAUCUAGAAGUAUAAAAUAACACCUGAGAUUUGUCACAGAUUUGACGAUUAGGGAUUGGAAUGAUAGAUGAACGAGUUAGGGGUUUGGAUUUGGAAGGAGUUAGGGAUUUGAAGCCUAAUUAGGGAUUUGUAGUUGCAGGAACUCCGUAGUGCUUGUUAUUGUUGGAAUGCCAUGAAGGACCGACGGUGAAGGAAAACGACGAUGCGGAGUUGAUCUGAUGAAAGGGUUUUUGCGUUUCAGAAAGUGUUUUGUGUUUGUGUUUUGCUUCUUUUGUCUUAGUGUUCUUUUUUUUGGGGAAUUGGGAUUCAAUUUUUUUUUGGUAGUAAAGGAUUCUAUUUUCAUUAGGCGUAUUGCAAAUAUUUUCCCUGUUAGCCACAACACACUGCAACGGUUGUUUAAACUGUCGCAUAGACAGUUACAAAUAUCAUAAAAAAAGCACAUUGCGACGGUUAUUUUCAAU
rnacentral:lncRNA from 1 species